UGCCCCGGGCCCGCGCGGGAUUGUGCGUCCUCUCCCCCCGUCCCUGAAGGGAAGGAACCGAGUGUUUUUAAAGGACUUGAGCGAAGGGGGGAAAACUGUCAAGAUGGCAGCAGCGGGAGCAAGGAGGUGAUGAACGUGCUGGUCCGGGUUUUCUUGCGACCCGGGAGACUUGGCGCUUCCCGACCUGUUGGAAGAUUUAUGUUCUGACUUGCCCCCCCCCCCCCGUCCUUUCUUGGGAAAGGGGUGGAGGGCAGAGCGUCCGUGAGAAAAUAAACCACACAAACCCC